rnacentral:rRNA from 1 species
UACGUAGGGUGCGAGCGUUAAUCGGAAUUACUGGGCGUAAAGCGUGCGCAGGCGGUUUUGUAAGCCAGAUGUGAAAGCCCCCGGGCUCAACCUGGGAAUGGCAUUUGGGACUGCAAGGCUUGAGUGCGGCAGAGGAGACUGGAAUUCCUGGUGUAGCAGUGAAAUGCGUAGAUAUCAGGAGGAAUACCGAUGGCGAAGGCAGGUCUCUGGGCUGACACUGACGCUCAUGCACGAAAGCGUGGGGAGCAAACAGG